ACGGACACAUUGUCAGGAGUUGCAGAUUGUGCAGAACGGCCCUAAAUUGGUGUCUAACGGCUAGUUUUCAAAGUGAACUGCUUAAAUAGCCAGAGUGAACAGUAAUAGACAUUAAGAGAGAGAUUCCAUUCAAAGAAAAAGUGAUUUCCACCUACCAAAGUCUCUCAAGAGUAAAUACAAGGGAAAGAAGGAAGAAGCGAAUUGAAGUCGAUCCUACAAACUCCUUCCUUCGCAUUCAAGGCUAUCCUUCUGACAUCAAGUCUUUAGCGCAUUCAAAGAGGAGACUCUAAAGUCGAGAAGCCCCUUCUUCCACUUCCAAAAUCUGUUUGAGGGCUUCUAACUUCACUCUUUUCAUAUUGUUUAAUAUUUGCUUAUUAAGAAGCUUUGCAUGUAAUUUUUCCAAACUAUUUUCUUACUUGAUUCAAUCAGGGGAUUGAAUCAAGGGUUGUAAGGUUGGUUGGUGAGCCGAGGGUAAAACCAACGGUGUAAGGGUUCGAUUGGGAUCCCGGAAAAACAAUCGGGUGGUCUUAGUCGGUGAGCCUGUGAAAACCGACCAAGUUCGUUGUGAUCUCGUAAAACAACAAGUUGGGUUGUGAACUUGUAAAACAACCGGCUGUAAUCCGAGGGAUUAUAGUGAACUCCCAAGUGAAGCUUGGGGAGUGGACGUAGGAGCAAGGGUUAGCUCUGAACCACUAUAAAACCUCUUGUGUUUGUGAUUGGUUCAUUGUCUCUUCCAUCCCCUUCAUUCAGUACAUCUAGUAAACUAAUUAAUCCGCUUGCAAUAAGGUUUAAUUAGUUACUCGUUAAGUUUGUAUUUGUAAUAAGUACUUAAAACCCAAUUCACCCCCCCUUUUGGGUUGUCUUCUUGGGCAACACACUUUAUCAGAGCCGGAACUCUUAUAUUAAAAGGGUAAAAGAUCAAAAUGACAACCCCAUUUGGAUCUUCUCUUAUUGAGGGGCAAUCCACCCAUAGACCUCCAUU
rnacentral:lncRNA from 1 species